CAGUUGGAACGACUGCUAAUACCGAAUGUGCCUUAGGGUGAAAGAUUUAUUGUCUAGAGAUUGGCUCGCGUCAGAUUAGCUAGUUGGAGUGGUAACGGCACACCAAGGCGACGAUCUGUACUUGGUCUGAGAGGAUGACCAGGCACACUGGAACUGAGACACGGUCCAGACUCCUACGGGAGGCAGCAGUGGGGAAUUUUCCGCAAUGGGCGAAAGCCUGACGGAGCAAUACCGCGUGAGGGAGGACGGCUUUUGGGUUGUAAACCUCUUUUAUCAGGGAAGAAUCGAUGACGGUACCUGAUGAAUCAGCAUCGGCUAACUCCGUGCCAGCAGCCGCGGUAAUACGGAGGAUGCAAGCGUUAUCCGGAAUUAUUGGGCGUAAAGCGUCCGUAGGUGGUUUAUCAAGUCUGCUGUCAAAGCGUGCGGCUUAACCGCAUAAGGGCAGUGGAAACUGAUGAACUAGAGUGCGAUAGGGGUAACAGGAAUUCCCAGUGUAGCGGUGAAAUGCGUAGAUAUUGGGAAGAACACCAGCGGCGAAAGCGUGUUACUGGGUCUGCACUGACACUGAGGGACGAAAGCUAGGGGAGCGAAAGGGAUUAA
rnacentral:rRNA from 1 species